rnacentral:rRNA from 1 species
UACGUAGGUGGCAAGCGUUGUCCGGAUUUACUGGGCGUAAAGAGCGCGCAGGCGGUCGUUCAAGUCGCGUGUGAAAGCCCCCGGCUCAACUGGGGAGGGUCACUCGAUACUGAUCGACUUGAAGGCAGGAGAGGGAAGCGGAAUUCCCGGUGUAGUGGUGAAAUGCGCAGAUAUCAGGAGGAACACCUGCGGCGAAGGCGGGUUGCUGGGCCGACACUGACGCUGAUGCGCGAAAGCCAGGGGAGCGAACGGG